rnacentral:rRNA from 1 species
AUUGAACGCUGGCGGAAUGCUUUACACAUGCAAGUCGAACGAUGAACCCUAGCUUGCUAGGGGGAUUAGUGGCGAACGGGUGAGUAAUAUAUCGGAACGUGCCUUGUAAUGGGGGAUAACUAGUCGAAAGAUUAGCUAAUACCGCAUACGCUCUGAGGGGGAAAGUAGGGGAUCUUCGGACCUUACGUUAUAAGAGCGGCCGAUAUCUGAUUAGCUAGUUGGUGGGGUAAUGGCCUACCAAGGCACCGAUCAGUAGCUGGUCUGAGAGGACGACCAGCCACACUGGAACUGAGACACGGUCCAGACUCCUACGGGAGGCAGCAGUGGGGAAUUUUGGACAAUGGGCGCAAGCCUGAUCCAGCCAUUCCGCGUGAGUGAAGAAGGCCUUCGGGUUGUAAAGCUCUUUCGCAAGGGAAGAAAACUUACCUUCUAAUAAAGGGUGAGGCUGACGGUACCUUGAUAAGAAGCACCGGCUAACUACGUGCCAGCCGCCGCCGUAACAC